AAUCGAACCCGGAGAUAGCUGGUUCUCCUCGAAAUAGCUUUAGGGCUAGCCUCAUGGAUCAUUGAUGGGGGUAGAGCACUGAAUGUGCGCGGGGGCCACAAAGCCUACCAAACGCUAUCAAACUUCGAAUACCAUACAAUGCAGACCAUGGGAGUCAGUCCGCGAGAGAUAAGUUCCGCGGGCAAAAGGGGAACACCCCAGAUCAACCGCUAAGGUCCCCAAGUUCACGUUAAGUGGAGAAGGAUGUGGAAUUGCACAGACAACCAGGAUGUUGGCUCAGAAGCAGCCACACAUUUAAAGAGUGCGUAAUAGCUCACUGGUCGAGUGAUUGUGCGCCGAAGAUGUCCGGGGCUAAACGUGACACCGAAGCGAUGGGUGCAUCUGAAAGGAUGCGCGGUAGAGGAGCAAUGUGCAGAGGCAGAAGCCGUAUCGAGAGGCACGGUGGACACUGCACAAGAGAGAAUGCCGGUAUGAGUAGCGAGAGGCAUGCGAGAAACAUGCCCGUCGAAAGCCCAAGGUUUCCUGGGGAAGGUUCAUCCGCCCAGGGUAAGUCGGGGCCUAAGCCGAGGACGGAAGUCGUAGGCGAUGGACAGCAGGUGUAGAUUCCUGCACUACCGAUGGAAUGAAGCAGUGACACAGAAGGAUAACUCGAGCAGGGUGAUGGUCAACCCUGUGCAAGCAUCAAGGUUGGGUUGUAGUGAAGUACGCAAUCCUACAAGCUGAGGUGUGAUGCGGACCGAAAUUUCAGUAGGGAAGCGAGUGAGUUCACGCUGGCGAGAAAAGCUGCUAGUACAUCCAAAGGUACCCGUACCGGAAACCGACGCAGGUGGGCGAGGAGAGAAUCCUGAGACGAACGGGAGAACCCUUGUUAAGGAACUCGGCAAAAUGACCCCGUAACUUCGGGAUAAGGGGUGCCUGCGAGAGCAGGCCGCAGAGAAUAGUCACAAGCGACUGUUUAGCAAAAACACAGGUAUCUGCGAAAGCGAGAGCUGACGUAUAGGUGCUGACACCUGCCCGGUGCUGGAAGGUUAAGGGAACAUGUUAGAGCAAUCGAAGCAUCGAACCGAAGCCCCAGUAAACGGCGGCCGUAACUAUAACGGUCCUAAGGUAGCGAAAUUCCUUGUCGGGUAAGUUCCGACCCGCACGAAUGGUGUAACGACUUGUGAGCUGUCUCAACAGGGGGCCCGGUGAAAUUGAAGUAUGGGUGAAGAUGCCCAUUACCCGCGACUGGACGGAAAGACCCCGUAGAGCUUUACUGCAGCCUGAUAUUGAGUUUCGGUAACUGAUGCACAGGAUAGGUGGGAGUCUGAGAGACAUGGGUUUCGGCUCGUGUGGAGACGGUGUUGGGAUACCACUCUUCGGUUACUGAAAUUCUAACAUAGCUCUGUGAAACCAGAGGAUGGACAGUGUCAGGUGGACAGUUUGACUGGGGCGGUCGCCUCCGAAAGAGUAACGGAGGCGCCCAAAGGUACCCUCAGAAUGGAUGGAAACCAUUCGAAGAGCGCAAAGGCAGAAGGGUGCCUGACUGCGAGAUUGACAAAUCGAGCAGAGACGAAAGUCGGGCUUAGUGAUCCGGCGGUAUUGAGUGGAAAAGCCGUCGCUUAACGGAUAAAAGCUACCUCGGGGAUAACAGGCUGAUCUCCCCCAAGAGUCCACAUCGACGGGGAGGUUUGGCAC
rnacentral:rRNA from 1 species